rnacentral:misc_RNA from 1 species
CAAUAAUCUGAGCCUCAAAUUAAUGAAGGAUGGGUCAUUAGAACUGAACAGUGAGGUUAGAUGACUCAACAAGAAAGAAUCAUGACUUGUGAAAAGGCUGAAAGUACAAUUUUUUAGUUUUUGGUUUCCAGAUUUUCUUAACCCUUUUGCAAAAUCCUUUUUUGGUAAAUUAGGAUGUGAGCCCUGGUUGUUGAUUUUUGUUAUGUAAUUUUCACCUGAGUUUGGAAUGUUUCUCGUUCUUGUUGUGAGAGAGU